rnacentral:rRNA from 1 species
GAUGAACGCUGGCGGCGUGCCUAAUACAUGCAAGUCGAGCGAACAGACGAGGAGCUUGCUCCUCUGACGUUAGCGGCGGACGGGUGAGUAACACGUGGAUAACCUACCUAUAAGACUGGGAUAACUUCGGGAAACCGGAGCUAAUACCGGAUAAUAUAUUGAACCGCAUGGUUCAAUAGUGAAAGACGGUUUUGCUGUCACUUAUAGAUGGAUCCGCGCCGCAUUAGCUAGUUGGUAAGGUAACGGCUUACCAAGGCGACGAUGCGUAGCCGACCUGAGAGGGUGAUCGGCCACACUGGAACUGAGACACGGUCCAGACUCCUACGGGAGGCAGCAGUAGGGAAUCUUCCGCAAUGGGCGAAAGCCUGACGGAGCAACGCCGCGUGAGUGAUGAAGGUCUUCGGAUCGUAAAACUCUGUUAUUAGGGAAGAACAAAUGUGUAAGUAACUAUGCACGACUUGACGGUACCUAAUCAGAAAGCCACGGCUAACUACGUGC